UGCUGGAGAAAAGUGAAAUCAAUAUUCCAAAGGCUCAACCCUAGCUGGGGAAACAAAGGAAAUCUGCUGAGGAAAACCAUUAUCAAGUCUGCGGGGAAUUUUAGGUCAACACCAUAUCAAAUGGGAGACAAACAUGCAGGGGAUAAACACAAAUAACUACUCGGAAACUAGAAGGAAACUCUGACUGGGAGCGAAUCUGAUGGAGCCUAGUGGGGAAACCAAA
rnacentral:lncRNA from 1 species